CAGUCUUUCCGAGAAGUUGCCUUUAAAUUCUUCUCCCAGCGACCACUCAGCUUGUCUGGCUCCAGCUGUCUGAGGCACCAUGGAGACACGGUUCAUUCUCCAACUUUGGAUCUUUAACCUACUAGGUGCGGUGCUGGGUGACUCGAUCCGGUCCAAUGAACCCGAGGUGUCCAGAUCACAAGGCGAUACCGUGACCCUCAGCUGUUCUUACGAUACCAGCUACACUGCCGGUGUCUUUCUCUACUGGUACCGCCAGUACCCGAACCGAGCCCCGCAGUACAUCCUACGGAGAGGAGCAAAAGGAAGCACGUUCAGUGAUACUGCAGGUUUCGCCCAGGAGAGGUUUUCUUCGCAGGCGAACGACACCUCCACAGUUCUGAACAUCACAGCCCUGGAGCUGGCAGACACAGCGGUGUAUCUCUGCGCCCUGCGUCUGGCACAGUGACAGAGCCUCACAGCAGAGCUGUACAAAAACCUCCCAGCCCUGCUGCAGGGGAUGCCACAGGCAUUAAAACGGGCUGCAGCGCCUUGAAACAGCCUGAGUACUGACGCUGCUUAAAAAUACAUCUCCUCCUAACAGUUACAGGUUUCUGUAAAGAGCUAAUUUAAACACAAUCCUUGGAUAAUAUAUUGGGCCUGAUCUUUAAUUAGGAAACUAUUAAUACCUAUUUUCUUAGCUGACGAGAUGACCUGUUCUGUGUUGCGUGGGGGGAAAGCAUUUGUAGUAAAACAAGGGUUAAAGGUGAGUACAAAUGUAGAUGAAGUGACAUUGCUGAAAAUACAAAUUGAGAUAAAAUGCGAAUGAAAACAUCCCUUUACACAUGGACAAUGAACCGUUAAAUUGCUCAUUUAUGUUAAAAUGGGGGUUAAAUACGCGAGUUAAAAUACUGGGGAAAUAAUUCGAAAUACCCGGUUUUGAGUGGUGGGGUAAAGCUGCAGUUACCAACUCUCCCAGAGUCAAAUCAAUGCUCCUGUUGUAGAUACAUUUGCAUUUUGGGUAGAUUUGUUUGGAAACUAUUUAAUUGCAAGACACUUUCCCCAAGAACCGUGAGCUCUAAAAUCAUGUGGUACGUGGUAAAGUCAUGACAAAGCACCGCCAUCUGCUGGUUGGAAAUAUAAACACAGGUUGUCAUUGGAAACCCUUCCACGCGCUGUGUCUUCGGUUUCACUCAGGCUGCCGGCAAAGGCAGCAGAGGAAGGACGAAAAUGAUUUUAAAUAAUUCUUUCAGGAGUUCUGGCUGGGCAUUUCAAAGGAGGUUAAUGGAGUUGGGUGCCUCAUCCCAUUAAAUUUGUUGUGAUAAUCCCAGACGUUAUUGCCGGCAAACAUAUUCAUGCCCCAUCCCACUGAUACCUGGGUGCGUCAAAAAAUCUCAACGGUCCCUACAUGAGUUAGAAAAAAUACUCCCUAUUUUACAGCUAGGGAAACUGAGGCAUAGAGGAUUACACAUCGUCACACACACACAGUCUGUGGCAGAGCUGGUCUCUGAAUCCCAGAGCAGACCCUUGUCCACAAGCUCAUCCCUCUCCCCUUAAGAACACCAAUAUCUCAGCUGCAGGCUGACCUGAACCCACCGUGUUUCCUGGAUCUGCGGAGAGUUCCCCAAAACUCCUCCCUCUUCCUCUCCGUCGGUUUCUAAUGAAUUUUCCACAGUUGUUGCUGCCCUUAGAGACGUGAAUUUUAUAUUUGUCUGAGGCAGCGGCAGUAGCUGGGAGUUUGAAACUUGGUCGGUAUAGAUAGAAGAUACUAUGGAGACGCGUUUUAUUCUCAUAAUUUGGAUAGUUCUCCUAGGGAACUGGGCUGGGAUUUCAAAGAGGUCUCAGGAAACUAAACACUCAAUUCCCAUUGAACUGUAAACCUAACCCCACACUUAACCCUUACCCAAGACUGUAACCAAAAUGCGAAUGCUACAGCCUGACAGUUCACCUUCACCAU